rnacentral:rRNA from 1 species
AAACGUAGGGGGCGAGCGUUGUCCGGAAUGAUUGGGUGUAAAGGGCGCGUAGGCGGCCCGGUAAGUCUGGAGUGAAAGUCCUGCGUUUAAGGUGGGAGUUGCUUUGGAUACUGUCGGGCUUGAGUGCGGGAGAGGGAAGUGGAAUUCCGCGUGUAGCGGUGAAAUGCGUAGAGAUUGGGAGGAACAACAGUGGCGAAGGCGCCUUACUGGACUGUAUCUGACGCUGAGGCGCGAAAGUGUGGGGAGCAAACAGGAUUAGAUACCCCGGUAGUCCUGGCCGUAAACGAUGAAUGCUAGGUGUGGGUGUCGAGAGGCAUCCGUGCCGGAGUUAACGCGAUAAGCAUUCCGCCUGGGGAGUACGAUCGCAAGAUUGAAACUUAAAGGAAUUGACGGGG